GGCGCUGUAGCUCAGUGGUUAGAGCGGUGGCUUCAUAAGCCAUAGGUCCCCGGUUCAAGUCCGGGCAGCGCUACCA
rnacentral:tRNA from 1 species